rnacentral:lncRNA from 1 species
AUUCAGGUAUAUCGUAACCCGGUAGCGGGUGUUGAUUGCUCAGACGCUGAAUCAUUAGAGUUAGCAAGGUGGUUGCAUGACAUUCGCGGCACCGCUUCUUUCAUCGUAUUUCUAUUACUAUAUUGAGUACAUUUUUAGACUUUUGUUUUAUUCAAUCGUUGAUAGAUGAUCAUGAAUAGUGACACCCUGAUAACGGCCUUGUAUUUUUAUUCCGCACUGUUAUUUAAGAAUUUUACUACGCAACAUUGCUUAAUUAAAGGCUUAAAAAUGACUCUUGAUGAUUAAAUAGUUAAUGUGAGUGUUGUGUCAGCUGGCCUUAUCUUCACAAGAGGCGCUAUCAUGACUGGGUCAGUUAGGAUCGUGACAUAAACAUCCCUAUUUUGUCUUUGAGAUUCUACACUUCUUCUUCACCAUAUCUUGCACAUAAUCUUGCAUAAAUUUCUUCUUGACUUCCCUGCCUCUUUUUGAUACUCUCACAGCGUCAGUGUCACCUUGCAAAAUUUUAUGGCCAUGUAAAGAUCUCCAACAACAUCUUGUUUAGGAACAUCAUAUAAAAUAAUACAAUACCAUGAGGAAAAGUAAAACUAGAACAUACAAAGGAUCAAGAAAGGUUUCAAACUAAUUUACCUAUAUAGUUUGUUGAUUUUUUACGAUGAGGUGCACAUCUAUCCUUUCUUCUUUGUUUUGGUUUGGAGCAGGGUCUUCAUUUGGGUUGGAGCAGGGUCUUGACAUGGAUUUGGAGAAGGUGGUUGUUGGUUCGGAAAGCUAGAGGAAUUUUUUCACAUAUUUACUAUGGCCUCCACAUUAUGCCCAACCACUUUGCAAAUAGAGCAACUAACUUGCACAACAGCCUUCUUAGAUAUUCGUUGAGGUUUCUUCUUCUCAGCCCUAUUCUCCUUUGCACUCUAAGCAGCUUCUCUUUGUUUUUCUGGUUCUUUAGCCUCAUUUCUUCUAUCCUUAGGCUUCCUCCCUCUCUUUUUCUUUACUACCUUAGGUGGGAGAAUGUCACCACCUCUUACAACCUCAGGUCAGUGAUCUUCAAGGCCGGUAGGGUUUAUACAGUAAGAGUAUACUUUCUUGUAGUUUUCCACUUUGUAAUAGUCCAUGACAUAAUCUUCUAUUAACUCAUUGUUGCCAAGAAUACUAAUCACACCAUGGUGACAAGGCAAUCCAAUCAAAUCCUACCUUCUACAAGUACAAGUCUUGGCAGACAUAUCAACAAUAUAUGGCCCUUCAGAACCUUCAACUAAGACCCUAGGGCCUCUUGAAAAAUCAGGUUGAAACAUUAUUUCCUCCAUCCUAAUUUUCAACAACUUUUUUCAAUCUUAGGGCAUAUUGGCCCUUGGUAUCUCAAUCCACUCUUCUUUUUAACCAACCUCAUCAUCAACUUGUUCCUGGUCAUUUAUAGUACUGUUAUCCUUGUCCCUAGCAUCAAGUAUAUAUAUAAAAAGAUAUAUAUAACUUCGUAUGUUAUUAAAAGUAAAAGUGCAUAAGAAAAUGCAUAUUCUUAAUUAUAUGUUGAAGCUUUUACAUGAAUUGUUCAAUAACAUGUCACAUUUGGUAUGGCUUUUAAAUAAUGCUCGAAUCCAAGUAUUGAAUGGCCUCUCGGGGUUAUUGAACCAUUCUCUGGUCUCUUUGUCCUCAUUUUCCGAUUCAUCUAAAAACUACUUAAACAAGACUUCAUUACUAGCUCUAGCUUCACUCCAAAUUAAGUCUUGCAAAUUCUUACCUUUGUGUUUUUUUCUGAAAUGCUGAUACAUAUGCCUAACGCAAUUCUAGUGUUCAGUACUAGGGUACAAAUCGUUCAUAGCUCCAAUCUACCCCUUCAAAAAUAUUAUGAAACAUAAAACUUAGAACAAUGAAUAAAAUAUAAAGAAACGGAGUAAAAUACUAACGAAAUAAUAUUACCUUGACAUAAAUGAUAUGUGAUGUAUAUUCUGAAUCUCUCUUCCGCUCCUAGGUUAACCGGACACCAACUCCAAGUUUCCCUACUUUAGCUUCAACUAUGACUACAUAUGUUGUUGGAAAAUGAAAUGAUUUGUGUCAAUAGCCACUACACUCAACAAGUUCCCUCCAUAAUUUCACUUUAACCAACAAUCAUCCAAGCUAAUAAAUGGUAUACAACCAAAUUUAGAAGCAUUCUUCAAUGUUCCAAUACAAAUAUAAAACAAAAAUAUUCUGCUUUUGUCUCUCCACAAAAUUACAGAAGAGACUG